GGGGCGGGCCCUUAACACAUGCAGUCGAGCGGCAGCGAUGGGGAGCUUGCUCCCAGGCGUCGAGCGGCGGACGGGUGAGUAACACGUGGGAAUCUGCCCAUUAGUGGGGGAUAACUCGGGGAAACUCGAGCUAAUACCGCAUAAUCCCUACGGGGGAAAGCAGGGGAUCUUCGGACCUUGCGCUGAUGGAUGAGCCCGCGUCGGAUUAGCUUGUUGGUGGGGUAAUGGCCCACCAAGGCGACAAUCCGUAACUGGUCUGAGAGGAUGGCCAGUCACACCGGGACUGAGACACGGCCCGGACUCCUACGGGAGGCAGCAGUGGGGAAUCUUGGACAAUGGGCGCAAGCCUGAUCCAGCCAUGCCGCGUGUGUGAAGAAGGCCUUCGGGUUGUAAAGCACUUUCAGUAGGGAGGAAGGCUUUGGGCUAAUACCCUGGAGUACUUGACGUUACCUACAGAAGAAGCACCGGCUAAUUUCGUGCCAGCAGCCGCGGUAAUACGAAAGGUGCGAGCGUUAAUCGGAAUUACUGGGCGUAAAGCGCGCGUAGGCGGUGUGUUAAGUCGGAUGUGAAAGCCCAGGGCUCAACCUUGGAAUUGCAUCCGAUACUGGCACGCUAGAGUGCAGUAGAGGGAGGUGGAAUUUCCGGUGUAGCGGUGAAAUGCGUAGAGAUCGGAAGGAACACCAGUGGCGAAAGCGGCCUCCUGGACUGACACUGACACUGAGGUGCGAAAGCGUGGGGAGCAAACAGGAUUAGAUACCCCUGGUAGUCCACGCCCGUAAACGAUGUCUACUAGGCCGUUGGGGUCCCUUAGUGACUUUGGUGGCGCAGCUCACGCGAUAAGUAGACCGCCUGGGGAGUUACGGCGCAAGCUAAAAACUCAAUGAAUUGACGGGCCGCACAAGCGGUGGAGCAUGUCGAUUAUUCGAUGCACCGCUAGAAUCUUACCAGGCCUUGACAUCUGCGACUUCUAGAGAAUGAUUGAGUCUUCGUAGCCAUGACUGGUCGUCAUGACAGUCCUAGUCGAUCGUGAAGUUGGUCU
rnacentral:rRNA from 1 species